rnacentral:lncRNA from 1 species
CUACCCUUGGGGUAUUCGGAGCCUGCCUUUGGGCCUUGCUUCUCCAUGCCCAGAGGCAAGCCCCCCGCCCCAUCCCCUAGGGGACAGAAAGCCAGCCCCCCUACCUUAGCCCCUGCCACUGCCAGUCCCCCCACCACUGCGGGGAGCAACAACCCCUGCCUCACACAGCUGCUCACAGCAGCUAAGCCGGAGCAAGCCCUGGAGCCACCACUUGUAUCCAGCACCCUCCUCCGGUCCCCAGGGUCCCCGCAGGAGACAGUCCCUGAAUUCCCCUGCACAUUCCUUCCCCCGACCCCGGCCCCUACACCGCCCCGGCCACCUCCAGGCCCGGCCACAUUGGCCCCUUCCAGGCCCCUGCUUGUCCCCAAAGCGGAGCGGCUCUCACCCCCAGCGCCCAGCGGUAAAGAGAGGGGUUGCAGGGAUUGGGGGAAUCUAGGGGAUGAGGGGAAGAGGAGGAAGAAGAAGGGGACUGGGUCUGGGGCCAGAUGAGAGGAAGGGGGCAAUGGGGACCCUUUCCCCUGGGUCGGUCUUUCUGUGGGUCUGUCUGUCCCUACCACAGGCAGUGAACGGCGGCUGUCAGGGGACCUCAGCUCCAUGCCAGGCCCUGGGACUCUGAGCGUCCGUGUCUCUCCCCCGCAACCCAUCCUCAGCCGGGGCCGUCCAGACAGCAACAAGACCGAGAACCGGCGUAUCACACACAUCUCCGCGGAGCAGAAGCGGCGCUUCAACAUCAAGCUGGGGUUUGACACCCUUCAUGGGCUCGUGAGCACACUC